rnacentral:tRNA from 1 species
GGGGGUGUGCCCGAGUGGUUAAAGGGGACGGGCUGUAAACCCGUUAGCUAUGCUUACCGCGGUUCGAAUCCGUGCGCCCCCACCA